CUGAGAUCAGCGGCGGACGGGUGAGUAACACGUGGGUAACCUGCCUGUAAGACUGGGAUAACUCCGGGAAACCGGGGCUAAUACCGGAUAACACCUACCCCCGCAUGGGGGAAGGUUGAAAGGUGGCUUCGGCUAUCACUUACAGAUGGACCCGCGGCGCAUUAGCUAGUUGGUGAGGUAAUGGCUCACCAAGGCGACGAUGCGUAGCCGACCUGAGAGGGUGAUCGGCCACACUGGGACUGAGACACGGCCCAGACUCCUACGGGAGGCAGCAGUAGGGAAUCUUCCGCAAUGGACGAAAGUCUGACGGAGCAACGCCGCGUGAGUGAAGAAGGUUUUCGGAUCGUAAAACUCUGUUGUUAGGGAAGAACAAGUGCCGUUCGAAUAGGGCGGCGCCUUGACGGUACCUAACCAGAAAGCCACGGCUAACUACGUGCCAGCAGCCGCGGUAAUACGUACGUGGCAAGCGUUGUCCGGAAUUAUUGGGCGUAAAGCGCGCGCAGGUGGUUUCUUAAGUCUGAUGUGAAAGCCCACGGCUCAACCGUGGAGGGUCAUUGGAAACUGGGGAACUUGAGUGCAGAAGAGGAAAGUGGAAUUCCAAGUGUAGCGGUGAAAUGCUGUAGAUAUUUGGAGGAACACCAGUGGCGAAGGCGACUUUCUGGUCUGUAACUGACACUGAGGCGCGAAAGCGUGGGGAGCAAACAGGAUUAGAUACCCUGCUACUCCACGCCGUAAACGAUGAGUGCUAAGUGUAGAGGGUUUCCGCCCUUUAGUGCUGCAGCUAACGCAUUAAGCACUCCGCCUGGGGAGUACGGUCGCAAGACUGAACUCAAAGGAAUUGACGGGGGCCGCACAAGCGGUGGAGCAUGUGUUUAUUCGAAGCACGGCGAAGAACCUUACCAGUCUUGACAUCCUCUGACAACCUAGAGAUAG
rnacentral:rRNA from 1 species